AGUGCCCUAGUUUGUAGAAUGGGGUAGCAGGGUGUUAGGAUAGCUGUCAGUUUUAUUCAGUCAGCUAGACAAAAAUCAUGGGACAGUGGUAACAUUUAGACCAAAGGGCCUUCUUCACAGUGCAGUCCUACAAGUUUCUUUAAGUUAUGUUAACCUGCUACCUUAUAAGUGAUCAUAGGUUCUAGUUAUUUUCCUUAGUAUGUUUUUAUUGUCACCAUUAAGAGGAUGGAAAAGCAUAUCCAUUGCUCCUAAUGUUUCUGGUCGGGCCAGAGUAACUGAAGACGAUUGUGGUGUGGGUGCUCUGUGUGUGUGUGUGUGUGUAUAGUGUGUGUGUGUGUGUGUGUGUGUGUGUUCGUUCUUUGACUUAGGACUUGCUGUCUUCCUGCCUGUGCAGGGAUCAUGUAUUUUCCUUCUACCCACAAGUCUAUGGCUGGGCCACUCUAAUCCAGCAGAAUUCAAAGAUGAAUGUAGCUCCAGGGAGGUCAUCCCAUAUAAAGAAUACUUUCUUCACAACUCUUCAUUCUGGCUUAAAAGUUCAAGGUUGUUUGGGCCUUUGAAUUUUACUGGUUAGUUCUACUCAUUUAGAUGGCAGAAAGUUGAGUCCCCAAAACAAGUUAAUAUAGUACACUAUGACUUUUGUGAUUCCUACAUUAUAGAUCAGUAAAGCUGUUGGAACAGAAAGUUUAAGCAACCUCUGGAAUAAGUUUAAAUUUUUCUAUGAAUUAGCUAUUGUAAGAAGAAAAUACAGAUAAGUGAAAAAAAUAAUUUCAUAAUUCAUCAUUUGGUUUAAUUGCUUUAAUUGUGUGUGUGUGGU
rnacentral:lncRNA from 1 species